UUUUUUUUUUUUUUUAAUCGACUGAGGGAUUUUCUGUGAAUUAAAAAACUUAAAGCUCAGUCAUUUUCUGGCCCCAUAAGACAUUCCAGCCUCACCUGGUAUUUCCUUGCCCUAGGCCUGGGUUCUGCCCUUUGGUGAACCUGAGAGCUUGUCCUACUUUGAGACUUUCUGACCUUCCCUAUAUCCAAAAAAUUCAGCCCACCCUCACCAUUUUCCAAUGUGCUCAUUCUUCGGAAAGAGGAAAAAGAAGACUUGGACUCAUACUCUGGUUCCUCUACCUGUAUGACCAUGAGCAAGUUCAUGUUUCUGGUCCUCAGUUUCCUUCCUCAUCCUUAAAAUGCAGGAAUCAUUUUUAAUAUCAGAAAAUAAAUUAAAAUGAAAGUGAUUUAUAAAAAACAAACAAACAAACAAAAAAGGAGUUCCCAUCUGUUGGCUGCUUUCACUUUUUACAAAUUAUAGUUGAUUUACAAUGUUGUGUAAUUUCUGCUCUACAGCUAAAUGACUCAGUUAUACAUACAUACACAUUCUUUUUUCUUUUCCACUAUGGUUUAUCACAGGAUAUCGAAUAUAGUUCCCCUGUACUAUACAGUAGGACCUUGUUGUUUCUCCUUCCUCUAUGUUAUAGUUUGCACCUGCUAACCCCGACUCCCAGCCCAUCCCUCCUUCAGCCCCUCCCCCACAAGUCUGUUACUGAAGUCUGUGAGUCUCUUUCACAGUUAGCCGUGUAUAACGAUAGUCCGUGUUCCUCUAGUGGAUGUUGAUCCAACAUUUUGCUCACAGGGAUGCCACAUUCCCCUGCCCGAGUGGAAAGCAGAAGGUGUAAAAACUUCAUGCUGGAAAAAAACACCUCAAAGUUUCAACAGUCUUUCAGGUUCUGACUGCUUUCCAAGUCGGACACAGCAGAACUGAGGGAAAGAGAUCCCCCAUCAGCAACAGUCACAACCCCUCACAUUUAUAAGAUUUUUUCAGUUUUCAAAGCAUUUCCCCUAUUCACUGCAGUAACCUUGAGAGAAAGGUAGGGGAGCCUUCUAUGAUUUACAGAUAAAGAAACUGGGGACCAAAGUAACUCAAUACAACUGGGGCUGGAAAGAUGUUUCCAAGAAAGCACACUGACGCCAGCCAGCAGCAGCAAGAGGAGAGAGUGGGGCCCCUCGGUAACUAUUCACAACUUCUAACUAUUUACUAUUUACUACUUCAGGCUGGGCGCUGAGUGUCAGGAAGGCCAGCGAACAUGGCACGCGUGGUGCUGUCCUCAUGGAACCCCCAGCUUAAUGGGGUUUGAUGCAUCUAACACUCUCACUGCCUCCAGCUGGUUCCUCUGCUCCGGGUGGCUGUUCUGUUCAACCUGACCUUAGCAAUGAGUCUCUAAUGUGGAUCUCUACUACCCCUACGCUCCAGAAAAGGCAGCUGCUUUUGCUCACCAGCCAGACACGGCUCUCCUUCAAGCCCACGGUGAUGGCAUGUCAUUCAGUUUGGUCAGCAUGCCCUCCUGUGGGGUGAUUGAAGCCCCACACAUGCCGUCUGGAGCCCAGUGGUCCGAGGACCGUCCUCACUUGUGGAUCCAAAGCUAACAGGAGCGCCUCCUCAGAAGGUUUGUCCUUCACCACAGUUUGGAUUAUGGAGCCCUGGCCACGGGCCCGGUGACGCGUGUGUUAGGUGUUGGAGGUGGAAAAGUGACAGAGAGGGAGGCUAUGGAGCUAUUUUCAUCUUGUUCCAAUGGCUUAAAACACCAGCUUCUCUUGUGCCUUAUUUAGAUGAAUGAUCUUGACCUAAAAAAAAGUCCAAGCUGUGACUCAGUUGAGUGCCCUUAGUUGCUCAGCAUGCCCUGGGCUCCUGUCUGGGGCUAUUCUGAACAACAUCUUUGGAUGCUAUGAGGUGGACACCAUAUUUCAGCAGUCGAAAGAGAUUUUGGAAAUCACCCCCCUGGAUUUGGGGGCCAAGGUGAAAAACACUGGUGUUUGGGAGCCAGGCUUGCUGUUUUGCCCUUUCUUAUUUUUAAAUAUCAUGGGAGGUGGUCUUGACCAUUAAAAGACAAGUGUGUUUCUAGUUUCCAGGACAGAGGGUAUGGAACUUGCAGAUUUACCAAGGUGAGCCCCGAUCCCACCUGAGGAACCACACCUGUGCUUGGGGAAAGGAGCCAUAUGGCAGGGUCAUGCUGGGGUAAACGUGAUCCUUCCAAACCUCUUCUCAUUAUCGAGGCUGGUCUGAGGGAAGACUGUGGGAUAGGGUGAGUUUGCUUCUGGUGUCCUGUGCUGCCUCCGAUCACUGCACAGCCGCCUAUCACGGUCCCACUCUUGGGUCCUGUCCAUGUCUUCCUUUCUCAGAAAGCACUGUGUGCUCCAAAAUGAUCUCUGUGCCACCCCCAUUAAACUCCUGCUUUUUAUUCAUGUAGAACCCCCAGUGGCAGAAGAAAAAUGUGUCCUUCACUUUGUCUCAGUGUCCAGGCUGCCUGGGCUCAGGACCUAACUGGGAUACAUAGACAAGAAGAGGUGGUCUGGUGUGAAGGCAGAUGUGGGGGUUCUGAGGACUUGGUUGGAACCCCACUCAUGCCAUUCCCUGGCCGGGUGACUGUGGUCUAAGGCUCUUCAUGUUUUUCGCUUCACUUUCCUUUCCUGUGACAACCUCAUGAGCCACCAUCUACAGAAACAUCUCCGUCAAUGGCUUCAGACAAACAUAAGCAAUAGCUGUGGGCCUUGUAUAAGUUCUGGAAUCAGCCUUUGCUUGUGACGUCAAUGCUAAUACCACCCAACCAUCCCCUCCAAUGCUGACAGUCCUGACUAAGUGAUAGUGACGGCAGCGAUCGUCAGAAGUGUGCGUGUAGCAGGUGCAGGGCAAGUUUUGCGGCCAGGCUUGUAUCUGAGAGCUUCCACUUCCUGGCUAAGUGACCUUGGGCUGGUAUCCUGAUUCCUUAUCUAGAAAUGAGGGUGAUGACAAUGCCCCUCCCCCCACCACUGCCUUCACAGUGAUGUUACCAAGAUUAAAUGAGUUGACUCACAUAAAGCUCUUGGAACAGUGCCUGGCGUCAAGAAGGCACUCAAUAAAUACUCUUAUAACGAGGGGUUUCCAUUUGUAGAGAAUGCCCAGAUGUGUCAUCUGAUUUGCAUUUGAUUCCUACAACAUCCCGUGACAGAGAAUUAUAUCAUUUUAUGAAUAAGGAAACGGAUUAAAUGUCUCACCUGGGAACCGAGCCUACAUUUGCUGACUCUAAGACCAGUGCUCCUUUCUCUGCCACAUGGACAAAAGUACUCUUAAAACUAAACAAUACAAACCAGUGAUACUCAAGACAUAGAUCAAUAUUUUUGUAAAUUCUUGUUAAGGACUAGAUACAAAUAAGCAAAGGUUUAGAUGUGACUUUUGCGUGGUGGGUUUCCUGCCUUGAUAUUUGUAGCCUUGCAGAGCUGCCAAGUCAGGUAUGACCUGCUCCGGGUGAUAAAGAUUCCAUAAAGAAGACCUCAGAGGAAUGAUACAUUUUCCCCAAAGAUGACUCGUGGGAACAGUCUGGGCUCUUUCUAGGCUGCUGGUGGGAAGGAUGGUUCAGAGAGAGAUGAGAGGUCAGACAGCUUCUUCCAAACAGCCGCACUGAGGGAGCAUCUUCACUGGAUUUCAGCUGCUCUUGUUAAAUUCCCACUUCAAUUUAAAAAGUAAAAAUUAAAAGAUGUGGUUAAAGGCAGAAUCCAAUGUUUCCACCUGAAAAGCAGUUUCGGAAAUUCAGAGGAGCAGAGACAGCCAGAGUCCUGUGCCUGUGGAAACAGAUGGUAAAGCACUGGUUCCCUCAUUCCGGUCCCUCCCUCCAUCUAUCCAUCAGGCCACCCAGGCGUCAUUCUUCCAUCCGACACGUAUUUAUUAAGCUCUGACUCUCAAGGCCACCUCCUGAGUUGCUUGUGGCUCUUCUGGCAGUCAUGGUUAGCCGCAGCCAAGAACAGUAGCCUUGCGCCCCUCCUCAGGGGCAAUCCUGGCCCAAAGCAGCUGCUUCGCUUCCUAGGUUUUUCCCCUUCCCUCCCUCGUUCCCUUUUAAUCUGGGCCAGUGUCCUCAGACAUGGUGAGGAUGGUGAUUUCCCAAAGCACGGCUAUUAUUUUGUUUCCAUAUUCAGCCCACCUGGAUGCCCUGUGUUUAAUUUCAAGGCACCAUUGCCCUGUUUUUUCUUUGCUUCUUGGAAACAGGUCCUCCAGGAGGAGCGGCCUCUUGGGUCCUGCCCUGUCGCAUACGGCUGGCUACACCCACACCCCCUCAUCAGAAGAGCCCAGAAUGAAGCCUCCCUCUUGUCAUUGUCAGGCAUCCAGGCCCAAGUCACAGGCUGUCAGGAACACAGAUGCCUGAGCUCUUCUCCACUGACAACAGGUGGGGGAGAAUGGGGGGUGGGGAGGGAGAGCGUGAGGCAAGGCGCUAGCCUGCGGCACCAGGAGGCAGAGACCCUGGAGCUUCCCGGUUCCCGUCCUGGCUCUACCAGCAACUAACUUGCUCUCAGACCCAGGAAAGCAGCUUCACCAUUCUCUUCUUGAUUUUCUUCAUCUGUAUCUCAAGGAUGGGCACCUGCCCUUGGCUACAGGGCUGUAGGGAGGACCACUAGAGACAACAGGAUGUCCUGUAUUAAAAGGUUCCAGUCCAGUCUCAUGAUUAGUUACUAUAGAUGACAGAUUGCUCUAGGGGCAAAAAAGAGUCCUGCUGAUUCAGAUGUCUGACUCCUACCUCUGGCUUGAUUCUUUUAUGGGACUAUAAAAUAAGAUCAUCCCCGUGAUCUGGGGCUAGAGGUUCAUGCCCAGGCAGCUCUGGAAAGGGUUGAGAAACCAGAAAUCUGUCACAUAACAGGUUCAUACAACUCACAGGGUAAGUGCUUCGAGAUGAGCGAUGACAUAGCUAUUAGUGCCUCUGACUGUAAAAAUGCAACAUGGUUUUAUUUUUUAAUUUUUUAGGAUUAAUAUUUUUUGGCCACACCUAUGGCAUGUGGAAGUUCCUGGGCCACAGACUGAACCCACACCACAUCAGUGACGAUGUUGAAUCCUUAACUGCUGAGCCUCCAGGGAACUCCACAACAUGGUUUUAAAAUCGUCGGCAACAUUGUCUUAAAAGGUACCAGUGUAAGAAUACUCAUUUUUGGGAACAGAUCCUUUGUGCUUCUUUUUUUUUGGUCUCUGCAUACGCUUCUUGUUCUUCCUAUACCUAUCACACUUCAUUUUUUCAAAAAUUACUUUAACUUUUUAUUCUUAUUUCCCUUGGUAUUUUCUCCCUUAAAUGGGUCAUAAUUAAAAAACAAGGUUAACAACAAGGCAGAAAUAGAGUCCCAGACAUAGAAAACAAACUUAUGGCUAGCAAGUGGGAAAGGGGGGCAAGGAUAAAUUAGGAGUUUGGGGUUAACAGAUACACACUCCUAUAUAUAAUAUAAAUAAACAACAAGGACUUAUGUAGACCACAGGGAACUAUAUUCAAUAUAUUCUAAUAAUCUAUAACGGAAAAGAAUCCAAAAAAAUAUAUGCGUAUACCUCAAAUAUUUUAAAUCAACUAUGUUUUAAUAAAAAAAAAACAGGUUAACAACAAUAACAAUUCAAGGUUCUUUGUUCUUACCUGUGUUUAUCGAGAUUUAUUUAUUUAUUUUGUCUUUUUGCCUUUUCUAGGGCCACUCCCGCGGCAUAUGGAGGUUCCCAGGCUAGGGGUCUAAUCGGAGCUGUAGCUGCCAGCCUAUGCCAGAGCCACAGCAACUUGGGAUCCGAGCCGCGUCUGUGACCUACACCACAGCUCCUGGCAAUGCCGGAUCCUUAACCCACUGAACAAGGCCAGGGAUUGAACCCGCAACCUCAUGGUUCCUAGUCGGAUUCGUUAACCACUGUGCCACGACAGGAACUCGUUUAUUGAGUUUUAAAUACCCUGCUCAGAUUUUGAAAUUGAUGGACAGAAUAUCUUACAAAUGGUGAAACCAUCAAGCAACAAAGCUUAUUUGUCACCAACACAUUAGAAUUUUUACAACAGAUGUUUUAAAACUAUUUGCAGAGAAUUCCUUCUUAGAUUCUUGAUGAGAGUGAAAUCUUCCUGUAAGGGCAGGGUUUUAGAAACAGCCAGAAAUGACCUGGAUUUGCCUUUAGCAGCUCUGUCCUUAGACAUUCACUUCCCUUUUCCUGCCAGGGCCAAGCUCUCCAGGUCCUGCUCUCCAAGCCCCUCCCAGGACUACCUGCUCAGGUGUGGGCUCUGGAGAGGGACUGCCCUAGACCUGCUCUCAUCAGCCCUGCCCUUCCCUGGGGGGUGAGGUGCUCGGGCGGCCAAGUGGCUGUGCCCCCGGGGAGCCUGUGCCUCCCUUCUAGACC
rnacentral:lncRNA from 1 species